AUUCGCCAAUGUGCGACUGGUGCA
rnacentral:siRNA from 1 species